rnacentral:ribozyme from 1 species
GUUGUGUGUGCUGGCGAUCGUCUCGCUUGUCGCCGCUUUGUAAAAGCUUUAUAAAAGUCCUUUUUUUAAAACAAA